rnacentral:pre_miRNA from 1 species
UGAUGAUGAUGAUGAUGAUGAUGAUGAUGAUGAUGAUGAUGAUGAUUCUGCUGUUAAAGAAGAUAAUGACGAUGAUGAUGAUGAUGCUCAUCAUCAUCAUCAUCAUCAUCAUUAUCUUCUUUA